CCAACAAAGACUAUACUUUGUAGGUGUAUGUGUUUCCUUAUUUACCAAAAUCUCUCCCCUCAAAAUAUUGUAGUUUUGUUUCUCCUGAAAAAAAUAAACUCUUUGGUAAAUGGGAGGAAAAGAGCGCGAUGUAUGCAAUGCACAAAGUUUUGUCGCUUUUGUAAUGGCGGCGCGCCAUUGAUUUGAUUUUUCCUGCAUUUUAUAUUUUCUAGUGAAACAUUGAUAGCCACAGCAACAUAUUAGUUAAGAAAAAAGAACAUUUCUGUGCUCCAUUUGAUAGAUAAAUAGAACAAUUUAACUUAAAAAAUAAAUAAUCUUCUCAGUGUUAUUUGUUUUAUUUUAAUCUACCGCACAAAUUCUUCGGCACGACACAUAAAUUCCACCACCAUUUCCACCAAAAAAAUGUCACAAAAACCACCACCAAUUGAUUUGGAAAAUAAAGUGGAGAUCAAUUCCAGACAUCAAUGACUGAGUUUACAGUUCAAAAGGUUCCUCCACGCUAUCCAGAACGAGUGAAAUGAAUCUUAUGUUUAAUACAGACUACAAUACUUUAGUGUGAUCCACAUUUUACAGACUUGUAGUGUCUGCACCCUCUGACCACUUGUUGAUGUGUUCGCUCUAAUCCUAGACAAAAACAACAUUCAACAAUUCUAUAUCGGGUAUAAAAAUGACGUCAGAGACUCCUUGCUCGCCACAGUUCGUAUUACAAACGCAUUGCGAGGCAUGCAUUUUGUUCCCCUCAACAGUUGUGUGGAUAGAUAUGAUAUUAGAGAAAUUCAACGCCAACAUUUCUCAUAGUGGUCUUAAAUAAAGUGUCACACAAGACGUAUGUUUUGAUAUUAUAUAAUUCGACUGAA